CCUACGGGAGGCACCAGUGGGGAAUUUUCCGCAAUGGGCGAAAGCCUGACGGAGCAAUGCCGCGUGGAGGUAGAAGGCCCACGGGUCGUGGACUUCUUUUCCCGGAGAAGAAGCAAUGACGGUAUCUGGGGAAUAAGCCCCGGCUAACUUCGUGCCAGCAGCCGCGGUAAUACGAAGGGGGCUAGCGUUGCUCGGAAUGACUGGGCGUAAAGGGCGCGUAGGCGGUUUAUGCAGUCAGAUGUGAAAUCCCCGGGCUUAACCUGGGAACUGCAUUUGAGACGCAUAGACUAGAGGUCGAGAGAGGGUUGUGGAAUUCCCAGUGUAGGGGUGAAAUUCGUAGAUAUUGAGAAGAACACCGGUGGCGAAGGCGGCAACCUGGCUCGAUACUGACGCUGAGGCGCGAAAGCGUGGGGAGCAAACAGGAUUAGAUACCCGCGUAGUC
rnacentral:rRNA from 1 species